GGCGAGUAGCCUCCGAGGAGCCGCGCGCAGUCGGAGGGGCGACUGGGGAGCCGCCUGGUGUUGGGGUGGCGCCCGCGCCCCGCUAGGUGCUAAGAGGGCGAGACCAAGUGGGCACCUGCUGUGCAGGCUGGGCAUUGUCCGCAUCACCCCUGAGCCCACCCGCCCUGCGAGAGAGGAAGGAAGAGGUAGAAACAUCAAUGAUGAAAGAGAAUCAUUGAUUGGCUGCGGCCUGCAGGCCCCACACCGGGGAUGGAGCCCACAACGCCGCCACAGCCCAGGAAUCCGGGAUUCAAACCGUGACCUCUUGGUUCAUAAGUCGAUGCUCAACCACUGAGCCACGCCUGCCAGGUGGUAACUAUUUUCUUUAAAGGGUGCUUGUAGAUAGAGACUUGGAAUCUUACCAAAUAAUGCUCCUGUUCCUUGGCCUCCUUACUUGGGGUUAAGUGGGGCAGUGGGGAGGGGAGAGCUAGACUGGGUUUGGCCAGUGCAAAACCCUGUUAAAAAACAGACAGCAAGCCCCAAAUGGAGUCAUUGUGCCAAGCCCAUGUCUCAAACAAAGACUUAACACUUAACCUAAUUGGAGUUUCACUUUCUCCCUGGAAUGUAACCUUUAACUAUUCAGCCUGGGGUUACCUGAUAGACCCCUUCCGUGCUGCCGAGGGCGACCUUGUCUAAAACAGUGCGUUCUUAGCCAGUAAUUUCCUUUUUCCACCUUUAAAACCAUUUCUUUUCUGCAGCUGGGCUGAGCUAUUUGCUGGAUGGGAUGCUGCCCAAUUCAUGAAUCAGUGAAUAAAGCCAAUUAGAUCUU